CUCCUCAACUCAAGCAGUCCUCCAGUCUUGGCUUCCCAAAGUGCUGGGAUUUUUGGCUAGGCUUUGGCACAAGCCACCAGGUGCCUGGCCUAGCCAACAUCUUUUAAAUUUCCCCUGUUCCUUGGGUCAGGAACUACCAAUGGAGAAAAUAGGUCCUGUUCUUGGCAUGCAGAAACCUGGAGAACUCAGAAACACCGUUACCACUUCUUAUUUGUCUAAACUCAGAGUUCCUUUUUCAAUGACCCACUAAAAUGUCCAGGGUUUAGUUUUCCCCAAGUAAUGACCCUUUUUCCAAGAGUUCUAACUCUCUGGUCAAUAUGUUUCAGAUAAGUCAUUUUGUAACAGAGGACAGAUUUCAUAAAGCUACCCCAGUGUCAUCUCUUUCUCUCACAGUUAGUUCAUCAGUUCUUAAAUCCAUCAUUUUAUUGAAGACUGCUCAAAAUCAUUGUCUCACAGUGAGACCUAAUGUGAAAUCUAUUUAAAGUUGCAAAGCCCUUGACAAGAGCACUACAGAUACCACAUCCUAUUGCAGCCCUUUUAGUUUGUUGCUUUUGUUUUAUUGGUUUUACAUUUAUCCUCUAGUAACUGCUACCUUUUUGCUACAUUAAAACUGCUGGUUUACUUCCUUUUUUUGACUGCGUGUUUACUUCCUUUUCCCUAGUCCAGAGCAUAAUCUCUUACCGGUAUUUAAUGUUGAUUAUAUAUCGAAUAGAUAGUUUUUUUGUUUUUGUUUUUGUUUUUUUACUAUACCUGUAUGCUUUUGUUUUGUGAAUUUAGUCAAAAAUAUUUUUCAAAAAUUAAAAGUACAGUUUUAUUUAUUGGGUCCUGUACUAGACUUGACAAUGAAUAAAUACUAGAUAUGGACCUUGACAAGAUGUGCGGUACAGACACAUAAGGAGACAGUUACCUGGACCUCUGAAAAGUGAAACAAAGAAAAGGACACAUCAGAAUAUGGGUGACAUAGGCAUCAAGGUACAAAAUGCUCAGCGAUAAGAUCGAGAUAAGACUCAGGAGAAAUUACCAACUCCUUGCCUUAGCUCUGUGCAAGGGAAAAUUGAGUAGGGAGUUGAGGUAACUCAUGAUGAAAAGGUGUACCUAGAAUAAUAGCAACUUCUAAAACAGGAGUGGAUACCAGAGGUUCAUUGGGUGCUACAGAAGUUGAGGGAGGAGACCACCUCUCAUAUUGUCUUAUGCCCAAUUUCUGCCUCCAAAGAAAGAAAAAGUAAAAACUAAAAGGCAGAAAUGAAAUCCACAAGCAGACAGCCCGGGGCCACACCCUGGACCUGGUAGUUAAAGAUGGACCCCUGACCUAAUUGGUUUGUUAUCUAUAGAUUCCAGACAUUGUAUAGAAAAGCACUGUGAAAAUCCCUACUCUGUUUUGUUCCGAUCUAAUUACCGGUGUAUGCAGCCCCCAGUCACGUACCCCCUGCUUGCUCAAUCGAUCACGACCCUCUCACGCGGACCCCCUUAGAGUUGUGAGCCCUUAAAAGGGACAGGAAUUGCUCACUCGAGGAGCUCGGCUCUUGAGACAGGAGUCUUGCCUAUGCCCCUGGCCGAAUAAACCCCUUCCUUCUUUACCUCGGUGUCUGAGGAGUUUUUUCUGUGGCUGGUCCUGCUACAAAGGAAGAGUAAGCUGUGGGUACUCAGAAGAACAAGUUCCCUGUGACUGGACCUUCAGAGACAAGAGACCAAAGUGGAGCUGCAGAGAUGAGCAGCAGUCUGCCCGUCCUGCGGCCUCUCUCCUCGGACUAACCAGAGGGCUGCUAAUUUAUCAGGAAAGCUAUGGACAGCAUCCAAAAAGUUACCAGAAGGCAAGUAAAAGGAUAACCUUCAAAAGGGCCUUACUUCUGAAGACUGAGUACCUAAGACUCCUUCGCCUCAUACCCAGAUCCAGAUAAGGGCUCUCAUCCCUGCUGAACCUCAUCAUGAGGUUGCUUUAUGAAAAGUGAAAACAAAGCUUCAUUGCACAGGCUUCUUCGGGAGAAAGGAGGAAGGAAUUUGCUGCCUCUGAAUAAAAGAAAAUUCUGAUCCACGUUGGCAAAAUGGAAAAAUCAAAAUGACAGAAUAGGAAUGUGGGUGUGCUCUCAUGGCGACUGGCAAAGAAGAAGCACCCCUCUGCACAGAAAUAAAAUUGCUUUGCUGAGAAA